ensembl:snRNA U6 U6 spliceosomal RNA
GUGCCCGCUUCAGCAGCACAUACACUAAAAUUGGAACACUACAGAGAAGAGAAGCAUGGCCCCUGCGCAAGGAUGACAUGCAAAUGCAUGAAGCGUUCCAUAUUUUA